AUCUAUAUUCUAGUGUAUUUAUCACUCUAUCUUAUUUUAUAAUCAGAGACAGUUGUUCAAGUAACUACUGUAACUCUCUUUCCACUGAGUCUGAUCAUUCCGGUUUAAAGGACAGGUACCAUCCUAUCCCCAGAACCUUUCCACAGAGUGGCUUGAUAAAUACUGGUUGACUUGAAAAGAUGAGCCAUGGCACAUCCUUCCAGCACCUCAGGAGGUGGGGUGUCUCAAGCCGUGGCACCGGCAUCUGCUGACACUGCUGCCUCCAGCAGUUCUUUUGUCCUCUUCCCUUCUUCACCCCUAUAUCUUGGGGGUGAACUCUCCUGAGGGCUGUAAAGACUCCCCUGAAAAGGGAGAGCCACGAAUCAGCAGAAUCUUCUCAGAAUGCCACAGUAUAUUAUUUCAGAGGAGUUAAUUUCAGAAGGAAAAUGGGUCAAGCCUGAACAAACAACAUACAUGGAUCCUAUUGGUAAAACUAGAACUUGGGACUCAGUGAAAUGUACAACCAGAAAAGAACAGACUGCUGAUGGUGUAGUGGUCAUCCCCAUGCUGCAGAGAACACUUCACUACGAGCAUAUGGUUCUGGUCAAACAGUCCUGACCACCAAUGGGUAGUUACUGCAUAGGGUUCCCUGCAGGUCUCACAGAUGAUGAUGAAACCCCAGAAGCAGCUGCUCUUCGGGAGCUUGAGGAAGAAACUGGCUACAAAGGGGACAACGCUGAAUGUUCUCUGGUGGUCUGUAUGGACACAGGUGUGUCAAACUGUACCACACCCAUCAUGACAAUAACCGUUAACUGAGAUGAUGCAGAAAACGCAAGGCCCAAGCCAAAGGCAGGGGAUGGAGAAUUUGCGGAAGUCAGUUUUUUUAACCCCGGAAAGACCUAUGGCACAGACUUGAUUCUCUGGUAGCGGAAGAACAGCUUACAGUGGACACCAGAGUCUAUUCCUAGACUCUAGCACUGAAACAUGCAAACGCAAAGCCAUUUGAAAUGCCCUUCCUGAAAUUUUAA